ACGGGUGGGUAACGCGUGGGAACGUGCCUUCCGGUUCGGAAUAACCCUGGGAAACUAGGGCUAAUACCGGAUACGCCCUUAUGGGGAAAGGUUUACUGCCGGAAGAUCGGCCCGCGUCUGAUUAGCUAGUUGGUGGGGUAACGGCCUACCAAGGCGACGAUCAGUAGCUGGUCUGAGAGGAUGAUCAGCCACACUGGGACUGAGACACGGCCCAGACUCCUACGGGAGGCAGCAGUGGGGAAUAUUGGACAAUGGGCGCAAGCCUGAUCCAGCCAUGCCGCGUGAGUGAUGAAGGCCUUAGGGUUGUAAAGCUCAUUUAUCCGGGACGAUAAUGACGGUACCGGAGGAAUAAGCCCCGGCUAACUUCGUGCCAGCAGCCGCGGUAAUACGAAGGGGGCUAGCGUUGCUCGGAAUCACUGGGCGUAAAGGGCGCGUAGGCGGCGUUUUAAGUCGGGGGUGAAAGCCUGUGGCUCAACCACAGAAUGGCCUUCGAUACUGGGACGCUUGAGUAUGGUAGAGGUUGGUGGAACUGCGAGUGUAGAGGUGAAAUUCGUAGA
rnacentral:rRNA from 1 species